GCCCGUUUGGCUCAGCGGUAGAGCGCCUCACUAGUAACACCAUAUCGUUCACGCAAUGAGGAGGCGACUGGUUCGACUCCAGUAAUGGGCA
rnacentral:tRNA from 1 species